UGCCAGCAGCCGCGGUAAGACGAAGGUGGCGAGCGUUAUUCGGAUUCACUGGGCAUAAAGCGCGCGUAGGCGGCUCGGUCAGUCGGAGGUGAAAGCCCACAGCUUAACUGUGGAACUGCCCCCGAUACUGCCGAGCUUGAGUGCAGGAGGGGUGACUGGAACUCCAGGUGUAGCGGUGAAAUGCGUAGAGAUCUGGAGGAACACCAGAGGCGAAGGCGGGUCACUGGACUGCAACUGACGCUGAGGUGCGAAAGCGUGGGGAGCAAACAGGAUUAGAUA
rnacentral:rRNA from 1 species